rnacentral:misc_RNA from 1 species
GUUUCACAUCAUUCAUGCCUCUUAGUGAACUAUAUGAUCCUGGGAAAGGUUAUCUUAUGGAUGAUACCGUCAUAAUUGAAGCUGAUGUUGCUGUCCGUAAAGUCGCUGAUUACUGGUCCCAUGACUCUAAAAAAGAGACUGGUUAUGUUGGCCUUAAGAAUCAGGGAGCCACUUGUUAUAUGAACUCUCUCCUCCAAACAUUGUAUCAUAUUUCUUACUUUAGAAAGGCUGUGUAUCAU